AGCCUUGAGGGCUGACGUGUUAGUGCAGCCCGUUUCUCACUAGGAGCUCUGGUCUGAAGCGCAGAUUUUGAGGCUUCUGCACGUGACCCGCUGUGAGCAAGUGAUAGACUGAGCACAAGGAGGAAAAAAAAGUUAGACUUUAUUUUAUUACCCAGAUUCUAGUUUUAUUUUCUAGGAAUUGUUAAUGGGCUUUGCUGGUGACAUAACCACAUAGGAGCAGUGGGAAGAUAGAAUGAGAUAUUCUUUGUCCAAGUGCCUAGAACACGCCGAUGCUCCGUGGAUGUUAGCUUGCUCUGUGCCUUUCCUAGUCCGAGGGUUUCCGGCCACUUGUCAGAGAUGGAGCAGCAUACUGGAUUGGAUGGGACUUGCUCACUUCCCAGAAAGAGACGGAAGGCAGACAGGUUAUUUACCACUAGCACCACAUUGAACUCAUGGACAGUAAAAGCAUGGAGUCCUGACCACUGGACUGCCCAGGAAUUCCCCUAGAGGUGCUUUCUAUUCAGAAAAAGAUAAAAUGUCUGGGAGAAAAAUAAGAUGGAAGACAGAAGAAUCUCAAUUGUAGCUGAUUAUUUUUAGUUGGAUGAACUGGUAGGAAGAAGUCCGCAGACUUUAUGCACGACGAGACGGAUGUGCUGUGAAUGUGCUGCUAUCAUUGGAUGAAGCCGUGUCACGUUCCGGCCAGCAAUCAGCGUGGCAGGGGUUCGAUGUGAAGAGUGACUGCAGGUGAUAAAUACUCCAUCCUUCAUACCCAGAGCUGAUAUUUGGGCCUGCCAAUGCUUGGAUCCACUGGCACUUUCUGACCCAUGAGAUCCGGACUCCAGGUGGCUGUGGGCAAUGAGGCGCCAGCCUAUAUGGUAUCAGGUGGGGCCCAAGAGAUGUAUUCUCCUAGAGGGUGGGCUUGGAAGGGAGUGUCCAAGAGCAGGGACCAGGUGAGCUUAAGCUUGUGUCCCGUCUGCCACUCGCUUUCCCGGGGCAUGACCUUGCUGAGAAAGACUGAAGAGGCUAAAUCCUCUCUCAGCCUCCAGUUCCCUGUCUGUAAAAUGGGUGAAAAUAACACCCACCUCAAAGGUGGAGUUAAGAUCCUUGCUGAGCUCCUCAUCCUUACUCUGGUAUACAGUUAAUAUGAAAUAAAAACA